GUUUCGACCAGACUACUGGCUGAUGCUUGUGGGCGGGCUACGCUACUCACUUCUAAGCUUUUGAUUGGGCGUUGUACAGAAACUGGUCUGAUUGGUGGAAGUUUGCUUUGGAUCGUAUUCAUCCAAUCAGCAUGCAGAAGCUGGCAGUCUGGACAUCUCCAGUGCGGUCCACGUGGCUCUCCAUGAGGUCUACGCCAUCUUUAGACAAACCCGUCAGCAGGAUGCCCUCCAGGUUGCCCGCCUCCUUCAUCUCAUUGUGCUGCAACACUGACCGUUCUCAGCGGUGGCUCCCUUGUUGAGGAUCUGGAUGGCCCGGCGGAUGUCCAGGUUGAACAGAGCCACGGCGGCUGCCCGCUCCCACUCACACUCCUGCUCCAGUGAUCGAAG